rnacentral:rRNA from 1 species
GGGUUGUGAGGUUAAGCGACUAAGCGUACACGGUGGAUGCCCUGGCAGUCAGAGGCGAUGAAGGACGUGCUAAUCUGCGAUAAGCGUCGGUAAGGUGAUAUGAACCGUUAUAACCGGCGAUUUCCGAAUGGGGAAACCCAGUGUGAUUCGUCACACUAUCAUUAACUGAAUCCAUAGGUUAAUGAGGCGAACCGGGGGAACUGAAACAUCUAAGUACCCCGAGGAAAAGAAAUCAACCGAGAUUCCCCCAGUAGCGGCGAGCGAACGGGGAGCAGCCCAGAGCCUGAAUCAGUGUGUGUGUUAGUGGAAGCGUCUGGAAAGGCGCGCGAUACAGGGUGACAGCCCCGUACACAAAAAUGCACAUGCUGUGAGCUCGAUGAGUAGGGCGGGACACGUGGUAUCCUGUCUGAAUAUGGGGGGACCAUCCUCCAAGGCUAAAUACUCCUGACUGACCGAUAGUGAACCAGUACCGUGAGGGAAAGGCGAAAAGAACCCCGGCGAGGGGAGUGAAAAAGAACCUGAAACCGUGUACGUACAAGCAGUGGGAGCACGCUUAGGCGUGUGACUGCGUACCUUUUGUAUAAUGGGUCAGCGACUUAUAUUCUGUAGCAAGGUUAACCGAAUAGGGGAGCCGAAGGGAAACCGAGUCUUAACUGGGCGUUAAGUUGCAGGGUAUAGACCCGAAACCCGGUGAUCUAGCCAUGGGCAGGUUGAAGGUUGGGUAACACUAACUGGAGGACCGAACCGACUAAUGUUGAAAAAUUAGCGGAUGACUUGUGGCUGGGGGUGAAAGGCCAAUCAAACCGGGAGAUAGCUGGUUCUCCCCGAAAGCUAUUUAGGUAGCGCCUCGUGAAUUCAUCUCCGGGGGUAGAGCACUGUUUCGGCAAGGGGGUCAUCCCGACUUACCAACCCGAUGCAAACUGCGAAUACCGGAGAAUGUUAUCACGGGAGACACACGGCGGGUGCUAACGUCCGUCGUGAAGAGGGAAACAACCCAGACCGCCAGCUAAGGUCCCAAAGUCAUGGUUAAGUGGGAAACGAUGUGGGAAGGCCCAGACAGCCAGGAUGUUGGCUUAGAAGCAGCCAUCAUUUAAAGAAAGCGUAAUAGCUCACUGGUCGAGUCGGCCUGCGCGGAAGAUGUAACGGGGCUAAACCAUGCACCGAAGCUGCGGCAGCGACGCUGAUGCGUUGUUGGGUAGGGGAGCGUUCUGUAAGCCUGUGAAGGUGUACUGUGAGGUAUGCUGGAGGUAUCAGAAGUGCGAAUGCUGACAUAAGUAACGAUAAAGCGGGUGAAAAGCCCGCUCGCCGGAAGACCAAGGGUUCCUGUCCAACGUUAAUCGGGGCAGGGUGAGUCGACCCCUAAGGCGAGGCCGAAAGGCGUAGUCGAUGGGAAACAGGUUAAUAUUCCUGUACUUGGUGUUACUGCGAAGGGGGGACGGAGAAGGCUAUGUUGGCCGGGCGACGGUUGUCCCGGUUUAAGCGUGUAGGCUGGUUUUCCAGGCAAAUCCGGAAAAUCAAGGCUGAGGCGUGAUGACGAGGCACUACGGUGCUGAAGCAACAAAUGCCCUGCUUCCAGGAAAAGCCUCUAAGCAUCAGGUAACAUCAAAUCGUACCCCAAACCGACACAGGUGGUCAGGUAGAGAAUACCAAGGCGCUUGAGAGAACUCGGGUGAAGGAACUAGGCAAAAUGGUGCCGUAACUUCGGGAGAAGGCACGCUGAUAUGUAGGUGAAGUCCCUCGCGGAUGGAGCUGAAAUCAGUCGAAGAUACCAGCUGGCUGCAACUGUUUAUUAAAAACACAGCACUGUGCAAACACGAAAGUGGACGUAUACGGUGUGACGCCUGCCCGGUGCCGGAAGGUUAAUUGAUGGGGUCAGCGCAAGCGAAGCUCUUGAUCGAAGCCCCGGUAAACGGCGGCCGUAACUAUAACGGUCCUAAGGUAGCGAAAUUCCUUGUCGGGUAAGUUCCGACCUGCACGAAUGGCGUAAUGAUGGCCAGGCUGUCUCCACCCGAGACUCAGUGAAAUUGAACUCGCUGUGAAGAUGCAGUGUACCCGCGGCAAGACGGAAAGACCCCGUGAACCUUUACUAUAGCUUGACACUGAACAUUGAGCCUUGAUGUGUAGGAUAGGUGGGAGGCUUUGAAGUGUGGACGCCAGUCUGCAUGGAGCCGACCUUGAAAUACCACCCUUUAAUGUUUGAUGUUCUAACGUUGACCCGUAAUCCGGGUUGCGGACAGUGUCUGGUGGGUAGUUUGACUGGGGCGGUCUCCUCCUAAAGAGUAACGGAGGAGCACGAAGGUUGGCUAAUCCUGGUCGGACAUCAGGAGGUUAGUGCAAUGGCAUAAGCCAGCUUGACUGCGAGCGUGACGGCGCGAGCAGGUGCGAAAGCAGGUCAUAGUGAUCCGGUGGUUCUGAAUGGAAGGGCCAUCGCUCAACGGAUAAAAGGUACUCCGGGGAUAACAGGCUGAUACCGCCCAAGAGUUCAUAUCGACGGCGGUGUUUGGCACCUCGAUGUCGGCUCAUCACAUCCUGGGGCUGAAGUAGGUCCCAAGGGUAUGGCUGUUCGCCAUUUAAAGUGGUACGCGAGCUGGGUUUAGAACGUCGUGAGACAGUUCGGUCCCUAUCUGCCGUGGGCGCUGGAGAACUGAGGGGGGCUGCUCCUAGUACGAGAGGACCGGAGUGGACGCAUCACUGGUGUUCGGGUUGUCAUGCCAAUGGCACUGCCCGGUAGCUAAAUGCGGAAGAGAUAAGUGCUGAAAGCAUCUAAGCACGAAACUUGCCCCGAGAUGAGUUCUCCCUGACUCCUUGAGAGUCCUGAAGGAACGUUGAAGACGACGACGUUGAUAGGCCGGGUGUGUAAGCGCAGCGAUGCGUUGAGCUAACCGGUACUAAUGAACCGUGAGGCUUAACCUUACAACGCCGAAGGUGUUU